rnacentral:rRNA from 1 species
GACAUAGGUCGCGAACGUUUAUCCGGAAUUAUUGGGCGUAAAGGAUGCGUAGGUGGUUCGGUAAGUUACUGGUGGGAAAUCGAGGCUCAACCUCGUGGAAGUCAGUAAUACUAUCGAGCUUGAGUGCAGGAGAGGUUAAUGGAAUUUUAUGUGGAGCGGUAAAAUGCGUAGAUAUAUAAAAGAACAUCAAUUGGCGAAGGCAGUUAACUAUUCUGCUACUGACAUUGAGGCAUGAAAGCGUGGGGGAGCAAAAACGG